AGCGAACGCUGGCGGCAGGCCUAACACAUGCAAGUCGAACGGAUCCUUCGGGAUUAGUGGCGGACGGGUGAGUAACACGUGGGAACGUGCCCUUUGGUUCGGAACAACUCAGGGAAACUUGAGCUAAUACCGGAUGUGCCCUUCGGGGGAAAGAUUUAUCGCCAUUGGAGCGGCCCGCGUCUGAUUAGCUAGUUGGUGAGGUAACGGCCCACCAAGGCGACGAUCAGUAGCUGGUCUGAGAGGAUGAUCAGCCACACUGGGACUGAGACACGGCCCAGACUCCUGCGGGAGGCAGCAGUGGGGAAUCUUGCGCAAUGGGCGAAAGCCUGACGCAGCCAUGCCGCGUGAAUGAUGAAGGUCUUAGGAUUGUAAAAUUCUUUCAGCGGGGACGAUAAUGACGGUACCCGCAGAAGAAGCUCCGGCUAACUUCGUG
rnacentral:rRNA from 1 species